UUCUUAUCAAGAGAGAUGGAGGGAGCGGCCCGAAGAAGUCUCGGCAGCGGGUUCAUCUUAUGAACGCUGUGCCAAAUCCAGUUACACACAAGAUAAGAA
rnacentral:ncRNA from 2 species